CCUCGUUCCGCCCGCGGGGCCGAGGCCGCCGGGGACAGCGCCCGGCCCGGCCGUCCGCGCACGGAAGCUGAUGUGAAAGAAACCAACUAUGAAGGAUCCGAGGAGAAUUCGUACUGCCUGUUUCCACAAUUACUAACAAGUGCUUUCCUGCUGAACCUUCAGAUUGAGAAGAAAUUCUCAUAGAACUGAUGGAGUUGACCUUAGAAACCAACAACUGGAAGUGUGAUUCAACCACUCCUGGGGUUUUUGUCACCUUCAGACCUGCGUUGUGAAUAUGAACAUUUAGAGUGCUGUUACUCUGAAGAACCUCAAGGAGGGAUACCCAUUUUGGAAACCUGUGAGCUCAGUUAAGAAAAUACACCGAGAUGGCUGACCAAAGUGCAGAAUAACAUUGAAAGCAGCAGUGUUCUCUGCAAGAUUACCUGGUGAUGCUGGAGAGUGAUUAUGACUGCAGGGAGCACGGUGCUGGUCAGUACAGAAGGGCUUGUAAAGUGAGCUGAGGAUGAGAUGGGUUUACCACAAAAGUCUUGGCGCUCUCGGUAUCCACAUCAUCAGUGAGCUGCAGAUAAACACAGCACACAUAUCAGAGGAUGGAUGCGGAGGUGGACUGGGACUCUGAAAAUAGCACUUGUGAUACAGGUGAGGAGCUGUCAAAUGAUUCCAGAAAGAGCACUGAGGAGGUGGGCUACAAGUCUUGCCUCCAGGAGGAGGUGGGCAUGAAUUACUCACAGACACUCAGUCCUUGUCGCAACUCUGCAGGACCAUCAGAUAAACAGGAACUUUCUACAGAGUUGCAGUGUGAAGACAAAGAAAUCUAUCAGACCUAUUACCAGAAACAAGGUGAGAGUACAGCUGGGAUAUUUGUCCCCUCCAGUACCAACUUGGACCUGCAGCGCGAAGAUAAAACCUCGCAACGUGGUUCCUCUGAGCACUCCAAGAGAUCACGGAGAAGAGCACGUGGUGAUAAUGAAAAUGCCCUUCUUGGUGGUGUGUUUGAUGCAGAGCCUGCAUCUGGGAAGGCUUUGUCCUAUCGGUGCAAGAAGUGUGGUGCCUCUUUCCAGGGGCCGAGUGAGCUGCAGCAACAUAAGAGGACUCACCUCGUGGAAAACUCGUACCGCUGUCCUGUCUGUGCCAAAGAGUUCUUCCGUGCAGCAAACUUACGCAUGCACAAGCUCAUUCAUAACAGUGACAGGCCACACAAGUGCCCAGAGUGUGACAAGGGUUUCAUUCGCACGGCUGAUGUCUGGAGGCACCUCCGCAAUGUGCACAAGAUAGAGCGCUCCAUGGUGAUCUUAGGCAACGGUAUGGCUAGGAACCCGUGGUCGAUAGUGCACCGUAACCAGCACACUGUUGAGUACACCGAUCAGCCUUGUGCAGACAACCACAAGGCUGAGGAAGAAGACUGUAAGCCUUACGCCUGCCCAACGUGUGGCAAAGGUUUCGAUAAGCCAAACCUGCUUUCCAAACACAAAGUGAUCCACCGGCAGGAGAAGCCCUAUAAGUGUCAGGAAUGUGGCAUGGCGUUUGUCCAGCUGCUCAGGCUGAAAAGACACCAGCAGACUCACUCUGGGGUGCGUCCCUUCUAUUGUGAGGAGUGUGGAGGGACGUUCACAAGGCUGGCCUCGCUCCAGCGCCACCAGCGCAUCCACACCGGAGAGAAGCCCUACUCUUGUGAUUACUGUGGGCAUUCCUUCACCGAGUCAGGCGCAGAUGGUCAGUGAAGAAAAGUAUCCACUGUGACUGCAGGUUCAGGUAGAUGUUGCCAAAUUCUACGGGAGUGUGACUUUGGAAGAGGUAUGUAUUGCCACUGUUAUGGUAAUGGGGUUUUAACUUUGAAGCAUAAUCAUGAUGCUUACAAUAGCCUCUUGUUAACUACUGUGGUAGAAGCAUCCAGUUUGCCCUUAAGUGCCAGCUCAGAUUUCCUUUCUGUCAGAAAGCUUUGCUUCCUUUCCCUGCCAGCUGCUGUGAAUUCACUAGUUUCUGUCUAAUGCAUUCUGCCUUUUCAGCAGGAGGCUGUGCAGCAGAGUGAAAGUAAAACUUCAGGGUAAUGUACCUUUGCAUUUACUACCAGACUAUUUAAUGUAAAGUAGUGGUUGUGCCAUUCGCCUGCAUCUUUUGCAGGUAAAAAUAGCUUGUAUUCUCCUGUGUUUCUGUGCAGAUGUGAAGUUUCAAGACUGUGUGUAAGAGCUUGGGCUGAAUGUGAUGCUGUUCCUGGGGUGAUGGCUGCUCAGCAGGCGUGCUGCACUCAUGCUUGGUACAGCGUUUGAUGUGAGGUCCUUGGCUCAGAUCAAGCUGAACCACUGUCCUCAGCAGCACUUCAGCUUGACUGCAGAAAAGAGACUAAUUCUCCCAGUCUCACUAGUGGAUUGCUUUGAUUUGAUUCAUCAAAGGAGUUUCUGGAUCAGGGAUCAGAUCUGCAUUCCUGUUCUUAGGAAUGUGUUGUGCUGUCUCUGAAGUGAUGUAAUGCAGAUACCUGUGCCAAGGCCCUCCAUACCAUGUACAUUUACUAAAGCGGUGAAUGAGACUUCUCCAAGCUACCCCUGCAGGGAGUGCCAAUACUGAAAAGCUUUUCAGAGACAGACCUCAUCUGAGGGCUGCUUCAUCUCUGUAAGGAAAGAUCUUCAAAUGGAAAGAGUUCUGGCCAGAAGGAAACAGUGGGUAAAUAACCUGCUGAGAGAGGUGCUGUUCUGUAGGGACUGGGUUGUAGUCUGAAGUGACCCAGAGAGGGGGAGGACAGCAAGGAGCAAAGCCAUCCCGGGAGCUGUCACACAUUAAGUAUACACCCUCCUCUAAACCCAUAUUGAGUUGUCAGCCACAGUCUCCCCUUUUUCAGCAUCUUGCUUUCCCUUGGUAUGCUGUGCUCUUGCUGUAGUGGGGUUUGGUAUCUAAUUAAACUGCACCAGUAUGCACAGCUUUAUGCUGUUUGACUGUUCUGCUUAGGCAGUUGUGGUAAUUAGGAACAUCCAGUUAUUCUGCUCGUUGGGGUUAGCAGCCGGUGCAAUUUGUACCUGUAAAAGCAUAAUGGUGAAAGUGUUUUGAACAAAGGCCCGUUUAAUGGGGAAAGUAAAUGGCUGGUGAAAUGGAAACUGCUAGGCUUAACUGAAAGCUUAUUAAAAAGAUACUUGCCUGGAAGGUUGACUUGGAUAUCGAGUGCUCGGAUGUGUGAAGGGAGUAAUUAAAAUGUGUGAUGAUUUCUGGGAAAAACCUGUUGAACCCUCUGCAAAGAAACUUCCACAAACUCCUGCACAAGUUGCAGGAAGUCCAUUGCAACUUAAUUUAGCCCGGAGAUCAUCAUUUCUUCCAAGCUUUAAUACAAGGGUUUGGAAGUCAUCUGACCCUCUCUCAGUGUGAAUUGCAGGCUCUUCUCAUCACCUGAUGGUGUUGGUGAGCAGUGGAAUGUAGAAAUACAGAGUGGAGCAUGACAUGCUGGAAAUAGAAAGGAGAACUGUGUUUUUAUUGUGAUUCUUCCCAAGCAGGCCUGCUUCUGUUCAAGCUGCCAGCACAGAUGCAAGACUUGAGGUCCUUCUCACUUCUGGAUGCAUGCAGGUGCACACCUGUUGUAUGCUGUGUGUCUGUACAAAUGCUUGCUCAACACCACUGCAGUGCAUGUGAGUUAAAAGCACAAGAGACUUUCUUUUAAACUGCUCAUGGCAUACAUGAGUAGGUCUGUAGACAGAGUAUUUAUUCCCAGUGUAUUCACUUGAGAUACAACAACAGUUUUAAAAUAGCUCAGGGAUUGAGGAGUCUGUGUAAACACAAAUAAUAUCCUCAAUUUUAAGUACAUCAUUUUCUUCUCAGUUCUACAAGUGUUACACGGCAUCCACUUUGUAAUGGUUGCACAGUAAUUACUGCAAGAGUGAAAAAUAAAGCUAGGCUUCCCCCUGCCUGGCCAGUCCUUAGCAGCUAUGGUAAUAUCACAAUACAAGCACAUUUGUAUGUUGUUUACAGAUAUAUUUAUGUGUCUGCAAUGUUGUAGCACAGCCAGAUGGGACCAUGGCUAACCUCUGCAGCAGGUUUUCUUACCACUGCGAAGAAGAGCAAAAAAUCUGGGAUGUGGCCUCAGAGGGUGUGUGAUGCUGGCAUCAAUGUUGUUGAGGCCUAACCUGCUAAGUCAAGUGGAAGCAAACUGGAAACAAGGACAUCUCUCACUUUGGACUGUUCCCAGGUCCCUCCCAGAAGCACUUGUAUGCAGGGGGUUGGACAGGCUGAAGCAGAGUCAUGCAGACACUGCAGAAGUAUCUUCAUCUUGCUUAUGUGUAGAGCAAGGAGAUGCUCAUUCUAAAACCACAGUGAAUACUUUGCUUCCACAAGCUUUGCCAGCAGCUCCGCAGGCUCUGCCCUGCGCCAUGUGAAGCAGCUCUGGGAGCUCGUGCUGAAGGAAAGCUCCUACGCUGCUGCAAGGCAGGAGAUGUGGGAGGAGGGCAGGUAUUGCUGGCUGCAAACUACAGUAUUUUCUGAAAUUAACACAAAAAGAAUCGCAUCCAGAACCAGCACAUCAGAUGCUUCCCCCCCUUCUCCCCACCCAUAUUCAUCGGUUCAGGAGGCUGUGAUGCCAAGUGGCAACUCCAUAUGGGUAAAUAUGAAUUUGAAUGGCUGUCAGGGGAGGAUCAGCACCUAGCGAUGCCUUCAGGGUGCAGCAGCCUGAUGUAUUACAGACAGCCAACGAGACUGACUUUGCCUGUCAGUGUGACGAAGAGGCACUGCUCUGCUGUAAGGCAGGGAAUAGGGCAAGCAGCCAGGACACAGAGCCCCAGGGAGCUUCGAAGGGAAGUGAAUGUGGGCUGAAAUCCUCAUCCCUGCAGCACGUGGAUAAGACAUUUGGUUCUUUGUGAUGGCUGCUCUUUUUGUGGUCCCUGAAUGACCCUGAAUGGUGGGGUUCUUCCUUUCCUGCUGUGCACCUUCCCUUCUUGCAUCAUCCGGCUGGUACUCAUUCUCCCCACCAUUCUCCAGCAAUUAAUGCUAGAUGUAACAUCACCAUGCUGUUUCCUUCAGAAAUAGUCUACCAGGAUGGGAAAGAAGCCAUCUAGAUCCAUGCAGAAGCCUGUCACCCUGACUUUCAGCCUGACUUUGGGGACAGUCUCUGCCACCAGCAAGACCCAGACUGAGGCGGCAUUAAGAUUGGUCGUGAUGGAGGAAAAGAGGAGGCACUCGGCACAACGAGCAGCAAAAAUAGAUCAAACAGCAGGAAAUCCGCUCUCUGACAGCGCAGGAGAGCCACGCAGUGGAAAGCACUGGUCCAGCAGGAGGUCGUCCAAGACAAACAUGGAACUGCUUUGCGGGGCAGCCCAGCUGGCGGGCAGGAUGGGCAGACAUUCUGCCUCACUGCCAUCCCUGCAGACAGUCAGGGAGGAGAUAUCCCAGCUCAUGAUAGGGAGAAGGAUCCCUUCUCACCACCGCCUGAAGUGAUCUGCUGGAUUCUUUCAUCAGAAUGAGUUUAUCAGCCUGAGUAGCAUCAGUGCAGAAGCGUAGAAUGGCUCAAGUUGGAGGGGACCUUAAAGAUCACUGAGCUCCAACCCCCAAUGGUUCUGUGUGUCCUCCUCAGGGAGGCUGGCUCCAAACACAGCCUGGCUUUGUUCUGCUCCAGUGGAAUGUUUGUAUGGAUGCAAACUUAGACCUAAAUGUCCUGCAGGGACAUGGUGCUCAUAGAAGCAACUGCUCACCAAAACGAACGGGGAGUUGAAUGGUGCCUCUUGCAUUGCUGUGGCACUGCCAGCGUUGUUGUGCAGUGGCUUUUCCAAAGUGGAGAUCGAAGAAGUAGAGAUUGAAGACUCGUGAGUGCUCCUGAUGGCAUGUUCUACUGGCUUCCAUGGGGCAGGAAGGUGAAAGCUGGCAAGGAUUCCAGGGCAAAAAAAGGCUAAGUGCAUCCUGAAGCAUAUGCUAUGCUCAUAAAUGGAAAGGAGGGAUCUUCUCAUCUACAAGAAGAAAUUGUUGUGGUGUAACAGAAGAACAUGUUGGUUUUCUGUGCUACUCCCUGUAGGCAAAAUUAGGUUUUAACUGCAAGCAAGCAAACCAAAGAGCUAACAGGUGAGAUUGUGCAACAUCCAAACUAUCGCCCUUACAGGGCACACAGGCAAUAGCUGGGGUUUUCCUGCAUCUACCAAGUGAGUAGAGCUAGCAGUGUUUAAUACUGAGUAAUCCUUCGGGGAGUGCUGCAUGAUCUGUGGUGGUUUUAGAGAGAGAAUUCUGUGAGCUGAGAGAUGGGAGCGACAGUAGUGAUACAAAGCCCAUUGAUAUAGAACACAAGGUCCUUGGGCCAGAGGAGCAAUAGCAUGUGUUAAAGUAGGACUUCGAUGUCUGGAGGUGGCAGAGAAAGUCGCCACCUGAAUGCUGUCAUUCAAAAGGCAGAUGCACGUUUAGAAUAUCAGGAUUAUUAAGGUUGGAAAGGGCCACUAAGAUCAAGUCCAGCUGCCAGCCCAUCACCACUAUGGCUUUCAGUGCCACGUCUAUGUAUUUCUUGGCGAUUCUCACGGCAGUGUCUCUCCAUUGACAUUAAAACCUCUAGGUCAGGACCCACCAAGAUGUCUGCUGGAUCAGAGGGUGCAGAUCUGACCAUCCUUAUUCCAGAAAAUGUCAGCUGGGGGCAAGCACAUUGCAAAUGAAGGUGAAGGAGGCAUGAGGACUGGAGGUGAUUGUCCCUCAGUUUUCCAGCUUGGCAGCGGCAGGCGCUGAGCUCAGUUUCCACCCCUGCCAGGCAGAAGAAAGUGUUCUUCUCCUUUUUGCCUCCUAAUGAUGAUGACAGUGCUCCUCUUGCACUGUGUGUGUCCUUAAUGCUGAAAGACCCUUCUUGUGCUUGGUGCUAGUGUUCCCAGCCCUUGGCUUGGGCAGGGUAUGCCAGCCAACUGGACAACCAUUCGUUCCUCUGAGAGCCUGUCUAUUCUGCAAUUAAGAGACAAAAUGCCCACCACUGUGGCUGGAAAAAGGUUUUAAUUAAAAUCCUUUGGUGUUGGCCUUGACUGGACUAUAGAGUGAACAGGAGGAGGGCAGAAGACCAAGGUCAUGUCUUGGGUCACCUCAGCAGAGCAUCCCUGAGCUGGGGCUGAGCACAAGGCAGGGCCUGGUUUUUAAUUGCUUUUUUUUUUUCUCUUUGCCCUUGGGUGACCUGUCCAAGGGAUGGUCACAAUCUCAUAGGAUACUGCCAACCCAAAGUUGGGACAGGUCCACAGGUCCUUUGUGUCUUAAUGAGGAACCAUGAAUAGGAGUUCACAUCACACACAAAUGAAAACACCUCACCAUUAUCCCUAAUGAGUGUCACUCUUAAAAUGCUUUUGUUAUGGGCUUUGCUGGGCUUGUAGAGGUGCCUGGGGCCCUGUCUCCUGACAGGGUGACUGCUGUCACCUUCCCCAUCUCCCAUGGCUAGCAGAAAGAUGACCUGGUAGACCUGUAAUAUGUGUGGUUCCCCAACUGCUGUAUCUACAGAUGCUACAGUUUGCUACAGUUUGCUCUGCUGGGGAAAGCCAUGGAAAUUCAUGGAAGAAUCACCAAAUAAGCCCCAGGAAGCAGGGAGGGUCUCCGUGUCAUCUUGCUUGCUUAUGUGGUAGCCAGCUCUCUGGACCUUUUUCUGUUCCCUCUGCUCAGGACAAAAUGAUGGAUUUUCUGGUUUGCAUGCCAAUGAGUAAGAAAGAUUAAUCAUAUUAUCACUAAGGUUGGAAAGUACUACUAAGACCAUCUAGUCCAACUCCAACCCAUACCCACCCAUGCCCUCUAAGCUACGUCCCUUGUGCCACUGUGGCAUGGGAAAGGGUUUUACUUUUCAUUUGGUCUCCGGCCUAGAGAAAUCAAUGGUCUUUUACAAGUUUAAAAACAAAAAUAUAUCCUUUUCUGCUGCUGUUUAAAUGCUUCUCUCUUGCCUUAGGCUGUGAUUUUGCGCUGUACAGUCUGAGCACCACGGGAGAUCCUCAGCCCAUGCUGGUGAAGGAGAUGGCAUCAAGGCAAACUGAGAGCUUGGUGGAUGGAUUUGGGAUGGAUUGCUACAUGGCACAGCAUGAGCCCAUCCCUCAGAGCCAGGACCAUUCCCCUGCAGGGAUAUAUGGUGCGGGAUGUGGCAUGCAGGAGAGCAGCAGAGGCAUCCCAUGUGGGCAUCAAGGCAGAUCCCUCCACAAGCCCUUUUUAGAGAUGAAAUCAACAUUUUAGGACAGUGAUGGGGGGACUUAUUUUACUGUUCCCUUAGAAAAAUGCCCUUUUGGAUGCCAAAAGACAGCAGACAAAGAUGCUGGCCACAUUUUCCCCCUCCCUUUCAAACCCCUUUCUGCACGGUGACGUUUCCCAUUUCCAAACCCUGCUCUCGAUUUCUUAUUCCUUCCUUUUCCCCUCCUAUUUCCCCUCCCUCCCUCUGAGCCCCCUGGGACCGGGCCCCUGCCCAGGGAGCCCUGGCCGUGUGCCGAUGGCAGCUCCUGGCACAAUGAGCACAUUCAGCCGGGCACCGCGCAGCGAGGAACAAACCAGGCAAGAGCAUGGGACCCCCCCUGACCCCUCAUUGCCUCCCCCAAAUAGCAGCGCAAGAAACAAAGCGGCUGAGGCCGUGUCCCAGUGCGCCGGCGGAGGCGAACUGGAAUCCAGCAUCACAAAACCAGCCCUGUGCAUGCUCCAUUCACGACGCAGGCGCGCGGGUGUCCUGCUCCCCCCUCCCUGCCUCCAUCCCCCCAAAAUCUCCAAAUCUGCCCGGUAACACCGAAGCAGGCUCCCUUUCCCAGGCUUCGGCCAAUCUGCGCGCUGCCAAGGCGGCGGUGCAGGGAACGGCAUGUUUUCCUUCUCCCUUUCUUCCUUCCGAGCCGCUUGUUUUUCUUUGGGGAUGGAGGGGAGGUGCUGGGCUGAGCUCAUGGGCUGCCCCCGCUUUAGCACACGUGUCCUUUCCCCAUAAAAAAAUGAUAAUAAUAAUAAUAAAAAAGGUUCAAAGGAA